GUCUAUAGCCAUACCACCCUGAACAUGCCCAAUCUCAUCUGAUCUCGGAUGCUAAGCAGGGUUGGGCCUGGUUAGUACUUGGAUGGGGAAGUUUUUCCAUUAAAAUUCCUUCAAGACAAGAGAUGUUGAGG
rnacentral:rRNA from 1 species